UCCGAGUCAGAGUCAGAGGACGAGGA
rnacentral:sRNA from 1 species